rnacentral:rRNA from 1 species
UGGCGGACGGGUGAGUAACGCGUGGGUAACCUGCCUCAUACAGGGGGAUAACAGUUAGAAAUGACUGCUAAUACCGCAUAAGCGCACGGGACUGCAUGGUCUUGUGUGAAAAACUCCGGUGGUAUGAGAUGGACCCGCGUCUGAUUAGCUUGUUGGUGAGGUAACGGCCCACCAAGGCGACGAUCAGUAGCCGGCCUGAGAGGGUGAACGGCCACAUUGGGACUGAGACACGGCCCAAACUCCUACGGAAGGCAGCAG